GAGGGUAUAGCUCAAGUGAUAGAGCACAUGCAUAGCAUGCAUGAAGUCCUGGGUUCAAUCCCCAUUACCUCCA
rnacentral:tRNA from 1 species